CUAGAGGAGCCUGUUCUAUAAUCGAUAAACCCCGAUAAACCCCACCAUCCCUUGCUAAUUCAGCCUAUAUACCGCCAUCUUCAGCAAACCCUAAACAAGGUACCGAAGUAAGCACAAAUAUCCAACAUAAAAACGUUAGGUCAAGGUGUAGCCCAUGGGAUGGAGAGAAAUGGGCUACAUUUUCUACCCUAAGAACAAGAACUUUAACCCGGACGAAAGUCUCCAUGAAACUGGAGACUAAAGGAGGAUUUAGCAGUAAAUUAAGAAUAGAGAGCUUAAUUGAAUCAGGCCAUGAAGCGCGCACACACCGCCCGUCACCCUCCUUAAAUAUCACAAAUCAUAACAUAACAUAAAACCGUGACCCAAACAUAUGAAAGGAGACAAGUCGUAACAAGGUAAGAAUACUGGA
rnacentral:rRNA from 1 species